rnacentral:lncRNA from 12 species
AGACAAGACAAUAGCAGGGAUGUGUUUUUGGUUAGGAACUGAAGCUGCAUUCGCAAAGGAAUGUUGAUUAGUUAGUGGUUGGUAUCAUUUUUCAUGCCUUUUUAAGUUACAAAAAUUUUAAUAUCAAAGCAUUUCUCCCUGCACCGCACAUAUCUAUUUCUCAUAAGUGCAUUCUGCUGGCAUAAUUUUCUUUUCCUUCCUGCAGGCUCUGUUUAUGAGAUGAUCCAUCAGGUUGUCUCAGAGUCUCCAUCCAGCCCUUCAGCAACCGGAGGCGUUCCAGAUGUCUAAAAUAUCAAGUGGUGGAGAUAGAAAGCAAAGGAGGAUAAGUUUCUUCAAACCUUUAACCCAACAAUGUUGUGCAGAAACCAGAGAAAACCACAGGCUAUCAGACUUCACAGAGCUGAUGGGAGUUCAGCAUUGUGACCCUGUUGAAUGGUCAUCUGUGAAACGCACAAAAAUCAGUAUUCAAGGCUGA